rnacentral:rRNA from 1 species
GAGUUUGAUCCUGGCUCAGAACGAACGCUAGCGGCAGGCUAACACAUGCAAGUCGAACGACCUAGCAAUAGGGAGUGGCAAACGGGUGAGUAACACGUGGGAACCUACCCAGGGGUACGGAAUAACUUAGGGAAACUUAAGCUAAUACCGUAUGUGUCCUUAGGGAGAAAGAUUUAUCGCCCUUGGAUGGGCCCGCGUCUGAUUAGCUUGUUGGUGGGGUAAUGGCCUACCAAGGCUACGAUCAGUAGCUGGUCUGAGAGGAUGAUCAGCCACACUGGGACUGAGACACGGCCCAGACUCCUACGGGAGGCAGCAGUGAGGAAUAUUGGACAAUGAGCGAAAGCUUGAUCCAGCAAUGUCGCGUGAGUGAAGAAGGCCUUAGGGUUGUAAAGCUCUUUCAGCGGGGAAGAUAAUGACGGUACCGGGAGAAUAAGCCCCGGCUAACUCCGUGCCAGCAGCCGCGGUAAUACGGAGGGGGCUAGCGUUGUUCGGAAUUACUGGGCGUAAAGCGCGCGUAGGCGGCUGUCCAAGUCAGGGGUGAAAGCCCGCGGCUCAACCGCGGAACUGCCCUUGAAACUGGACGGCUUGAACACGGGAGAGGUGAGUGGAAUUCCGAGUGUAGAGGUGAAAUUCGUAGAUAUUCGGAAGAACACCAGUGGCGAAGGCGACUCACUGGACCGUAGUUGACGCUGAGGCGCGAAAGCGUGGGGAGCGAACAGGAUUAGAUACCCUGGUAGUCCACGCCGUAAACGAUGGGUACUAGUAGUUGGGUUUCGACUCAGUGACUAAGCGAAAGUGAUAAGUAUCCCACCUGGGGAGUACGGUCGCAAGACUGAAACUCAAAGGAAUUGACGG